GACGAACGCUGGCGGCGUGCCUAAUACAUGCAAGUUGAGCGCUGAAGGUUGGUACUUGUACCGACUGGAUGAGCAGCGAACGGGUGAGUAACGCGUGGGGAAUCUGCCUUUGAGCGGGGGACAACAUUUGGAAACGAAUGCUAAUACCGCAUAAAAACUUUAAACACAAGUUUUAAGUUUGAAAGAUGCAAUUGCAUCACUCAAAGAUGAUCCCGCGUUGUAUUAGCUAGUUGGUGAGGUAAAGGCUCACCAAGGCGAUGAUACAUAGCCGACCUGAGAGGGUGAUCGGCCACAUUGGGACUGAGACACGGCCCAAACUCCUACGGGAGGCAGCAGUAGGGAAUCUUCGGAAAUGGACGAAAGUCUGACCGAGCAACGCCGCGUGAGUGAAGAAGGUUUUCGGAUCGUAAAACUCUGUUGGUAGAGAAGAACGUUGGUGAGAGUGGAAAGCUCAUCAAGUGACGGUAACUACACAGAAAGGGACGGCUAACUACGUG
rnacentral:rRNA from 1 species